rnacentral:rRNA from 1 species
UACAGAGGGGGCAAGCGUUGUUCGGAAUUACUGGGCGUAAAGGGCUCGUAGGCGGCCAACUAAGUCAUACGUGAAAUCCCUCAGCUUAACUGGGGAACUGCGUCUGAUACUGGAUGGCUUGGAUUCGGGAGAGGAAUGCGGAAUUCCAGGUGUAGCGGUGAAAUGCGUAGAUAUCUGGAGGAACACCGGUGGCGAAGGCGGCAUUCUGGACCGAUAUUGACGCUGAGGAGCGAAAGCCAGGGGAGCAAAGCGGG